CCUACGGGAGGCUGCAGUGGGGAAUAUUGGACAAUGGGGGAAACCCUGAUCCAGCGACGCCGCGUGAGGGAAGAAGUAUUUCGGUACGUAAAGCUCUAUCAGCAGGAAAGAAAAUGACGGUACCUGACUAAGAAGCCCCGGCUAACUACGUGCCAGCAGCCGCGGUAAUACGUAGGGGGCAAGCGUUAUCCGGAUUUACUGGGUGGAAAGGGAGCGUAGACGGCAGCGCAAGUCUGGAGUGAAAUGCCGGGGCCCAACCCCGGAACUGCUCUGGAAACUGUGAAGCUGGAGUGCAGGAGAGGUAAGCGGAAUUCCUGGUGUAGCGGUGAAAUGCGUAGAUAUCAGGAGGAACACCGGCGGCGAAGGCGGCUUACUGGACUGUAACUGACGUUGAGGCUCGAAGGCGUGGGGAGCAAACAGGAUUAGAUACCCUGGUAGUC
rnacentral:rRNA from 1 species